CCAAGGCUACGAUCCGUAACCGGCCUGAGAGGGCGGUCGGUCACACUGACACUGACAUACGGGUCAGACUCCUACGGGAGGCAGCAGUCGGGAAUUUUGGGCAAUGGGCGAAAGCCUGACCCAGCAACGCCGCGUGAAGGAUGAAAUCCCUCGGGAUGUAAACUUCGCAAGAACGGGAAGAAUAAGUAGGGGACAAUACCCCCUAUGAUGACGGUACCGUUUGUAAGCUCCGGCUAACUCCGUGCCAGCAGCCGCGGUAAUACGGGGGGAGCAAGCGUUGUUCGGAUUUACUGGGCGUAAAGGGCGCGUAGGCGGCCAGCACAAGUCAGUUGUGAAAUCUCCGAGCUUAACUCGGAAAGGUCAACUGGUACUGUGCGGCUAGAGUGCAGAAGGGGCAACUGGAAUUCUUGGUGUAGCGGUGAAAUGCGUAGAUAUCAAGAGGAACACCUGCGGCGAAGGCGGGUUGCUGGGCUGACACUGACGCUGAGGCGCGAAAGCUAGGGGAGCGAACGGGAUUAGAUACCCCGGUAGUCCUAGCUUUAAACGAUGAAUGCUUGGUGUCUGGGGUUAUAAAGUCCCCGGGUGCCGUCGCUAACGCUUUAAGCAUUCCGCCUGGGGAGUACGGUCGCAAGACUGAAACUCAAAGGAAUUGACGG
rnacentral:rRNA from 1 species